rnacentral:rRNA from 1 species
CACGGGGGGAGCAAGCGUUGUUCGGAAUCACUGGGCGUAAAGGGCGUGUAGGCGGGAAGGAAAGUCAGAUGUGAAAUCCCCAGGCUCAACCUGGGAACUGCAUUUGAAACUCCCUUUCUUGAGUACCGGAGAGGAAAGUGGAAUUCCUGGUGUAGAGGUGAAAUUCGUAGAUAUCAGGAGGAACACCAGUGGCGAAGGCGGCUUUCUGGACGGUAACUGACGCUGAGACGCGAAAGCGUGGGGAGCAAACAGG